rnacentral:rRNA from 1 species
GAUGAACGCUAGCGGCAGGCCUAAUACAUGCAAGUCGAGGGGUAGUGGUUGCUUGCAGCCAUGAGACCGGCGCACGGGUGCGUAACGCGUAUGCAACCUACCUUCAUCUGGGGGAUAGCCCGGAGAAAUCCGGAUUAAUACCGCAUAAAAUCACAGUACGGCAUCGUACAAUGAUCAAACAUUUAUGGGAUGGAGAUGGGCAUGCGUGUCAUUAGUAAGUUGGCGGGGUAACGGCCCACCAAGACCGCGAUGACUAGGGGAUAGGGGGGGAUGACCCCCACACUGGUACUGAGACACGGACCAGACUCCUACGGGAGGCAGCAGUAAGGAAUAUUGGUCAAUGGGCGCAAGCCUGAACCAGCCAUGCCGCGUGCAGGAAGACGGCCCUCUGGGUUGUAAACUGCUUUUAUUCGGGAAUAAACCUGCUUACGUGUAAGUAGCUGAAUGUACCGAAGGAAUAAGGAUCGGCUAACUCCGUGCCAGCCGCCGCAGUAAGAC